AUUGAACGCUAGCGGCAGGCCUAACACAUGCAAGUCGAACGAGUGGCGGACGGGAGAGUAAUGUCUGGGAACCUGCCUGAUGGAUGGGUAUGACUACUGGAAACGGUAGCUAAUACCGCAUACCAUCGGAUGUGCCCAGAUGGGAUUAGCUAGUGGGUGGGGUAAAGGGUCACCUAGGCGACGAUCCCUAGCUGGUCUGAGAGGAUGACCAGCCACACUGGGACUGAGACACGGCCCAGACUCCUACGGGAGGCAGCAGUGGGGAAUUUUGGACAAUGGGGGCAACCCUGAUCCAGCCAUGCCGCGUGUAUGAAGAAGGCCGUCGGGUUGUAAAGUACUUUUAGCAGGGAGGCGUUACCCGCAGAAGAAGCACCGGCUAACUCCGUGCCAGCAGCCGCGGUAAUUC
rnacentral:rRNA from 1 species